CCUACGGGAGGCUGCAGUGGGGAAUAUUGGUCAAUGGGCGGAAGCCUGAACCAGCCACGCAGCGUGCAUGAUGACGGCCCUACGGGUUGUAAACUGCUUUUAUACGGGAAUAACGCGCCUUACGUGUAGGGCUUUGCAUGUACCGUAUGAAUAUGACACGGCUAAUUCCGUGCCAGCAGCCGCGGUAAUACGGAGGGUCCGGGCGUUAUCCGGAUUGAUUGGGUUUAAAGGGCGCGUAGGCCGAAUGCCAAGCGUGCUGUGAAAUGUCCGGGCUCAACCCGGGCCUUGCAGCGCGAACUGGCGUGCUUGAGUCCGCGGAGAGCAGGCGGAAUUCGUGGUGUAGCGGUGAAAUGCUUAGAUAUGACGAAGAACCCCGAUUGCGAAGGCAGCUUGCUGCAGCGGAACUGACGCUGAUGCUCGAAAGCGCGGGUAUCGAACAGGAUUAGAUACCCGAGUAGUC
rnacentral:rRNA from 1 species